rnacentral:lncRNA from 1 species
CUCAAAUCCUUGCCUUUUUCCUUCCAAAAUUCUUUUCUCUCUGCCUCAUAUUUAGUCUCCUAAGCUCCUUUCAAGUCUCUCUUAACCUAAUGGCUUCUAAAAUGAAGCUACCGUAGAGGAGAAAAUCUGUUUGUGGGUUGGAAGAGAGUGUCUGCAGAAAGAGAUUAGUAGCCGAGCCCUCUCUUGCUCCAAUCUCUACUCUAGAUCCUGCUUCAGCUUCCACUCAGUC